AUUGAACGCUGGCGGCAUGCCUAACACAUGCAAGUCGAACGGCAGCACGGCAGUAGCAAUACUGUGGGUGGCGAGUGGCGGACGGGUGAGGAAUACGUCGGAAUCUGCCCAGUCGUGGGGGAUAACUAGCCGAAAGGUUAGCUAAUACCGCAUACGACCGAGAGGUGAAAGCGGGGGACCGCAAGGCCUCGCGCGAUUGGAUGAGCCGACGUCGGAUUAGCUAGUUGUGGGUAAAGGCCCACCAAGGCGACGAUCCGUAGCUGGUCUGAGAGGAUGAUCAGCCACACUGGAACUGAGACACGGUCCAGACUCCUACGGGAGGCAGCAGUGGGGAAUAUUGGACAAUGGGCGCAAGCCUGAUCCAGCAAUGCCGCGUGUGUGAAGAAGGCC
rnacentral:rRNA from 1 species